rnacentral:lncRNA from 1 species
UUUCUUUUGUUCUCACUGCACUCCCUCUCCUCCCAUCUCAGCGAUUUCUAUUCGGUAUUCAUCUUGAGCCGACGUCAUCACUAGCGUGGUGCUUCAAUCGAUUUCUCAAGUUUGAGACUUUGUGCAUGUGUCUACUGCUUGCCUUCUCAAUUUUGGUGGCUGAGAGGGAAGAGUGUUGGUUCAGGGAGAGCGAGUAGAAAGAAAGCCAUCCUU